GUGGCGGCCCGGCUCGGGGUUGCCUGCGGGCCGGCUUCGGGUCGGCUUCGGGUCGGCUUCGGGCCCUCUCCGGGUCGCCUCCGGGCCUGCCUCG
rnacentral:tRNA from 1 species